rnacentral:tRNA from 1 species
UUGGGGGGGGCAUGGCCCCGUGGGCAAGGCUACAACUUG